rnacentral:tRNA from 1 species
GGGGGUUUAGUUAAGUGGUAUAACAGCAGUCUCCAAAACUGCUAUCGGGGGUUCGAUUCCCUCAACCCCCG